AGACGCACUGUCUCCAAAGGACGUAAAGCCCGCACUUCUUUGCAAUCAAUGAGGUUUUCUAGGCUUUGUCACUCCAUACCCAAGGCUAGAGCACCUCUUCUUCGAUGAGUCUGCCUUCUUCACUAUAUCAACUUUAACUGUCAAUAUAUUACUGGUUAUUUUAACAGGAUGACAUAUGGUAUUAGGUUUCAUACUCAAAUCUUUCAGUGUUUAGACAACGGCAUGCAGUAGCAGUUGUAUUACUCCUAUCUUAGAAACCUGGAUCUGUAUGUUUCUCCAUUAUGAAAAAUGCGCUGUUAAUUACUAUGAAAUACGACGAAAGGAAAGCCACUAGGCACACAUUAUGAGAUGGUUUUUAUAUAUUUUUAAUUUGAAUGUUUAGUGCCUAUAAUCAAAUAGUUUAGCUACCAUGUUUAAAUUUGUAUAUUAAAACAAUUGUAUAAUGUUAGUACUUUGUAAAUAUUUUGUACCAUGUUAGAAUCAUGUUAAUUAGAAAUGGUCCUAAAGGGGCCGCAUGUAAUCAUGGUCAUAACCUACUAUACACUUGUUAAAAGCACAUCUUUUUAAUAAAAAACAAAAUGAU